GGCUUCAUAGCUCAGUUGGCUAGAGUGUCGCACUGGUAUCGCGAGGUCACGGGUUCAAACCCUGUUGAACUUG
rnacentral:tRNA from 1 species